CUCAAGUGAUCCACCCACCUGAGCCUCCCACAGUGCUGGGAUGACAGGUGUGAGCCACCGCGCCCAGCCUAAAUUCUUUCUUAGGCAAAGCCAAGAACUGUCCUGGGCUAUGCCCCAAUCUGGGAGCUCACCUUGCCCGCAUCGUCUAGUAACCAGGAAAGGAUGAUGAGGACAGCGAGUGAGAGGCAGAGACUUUCAGCCGAGGCAGGGACAAUUAGCAGAGAGGUGAGAUGGUGGACAGCAGAGAUGGUGACAGUCAGCGAUCCAAGGAGGGGUGGCAAUGGGUGAGAGACACGGAGAGGUGGCACUGGGCAAGACAGCGAGAGGUUGCUGAGACAGGUGGAGAGGCAGCGAGGACAGGGCAGUCUGUGAUCAGGGCUCCAAGAGCGGUCACACUGAGGCCGUAACGAUAAACAGCUGCUAAUGCUGCAGAGCUGUCAUACCAACCAGAGGCUUUGCCCUUGGCGCCUUCAUCUUUCCCUGGCUGGUGGUGGAGCUCAGCGACGGGCAAGCAGAAGUAGCUGCUGCCAUCAUCACAGUCUGUGCGUCUGUCCAAAAGGGGCAUCUUAUCCCAGAGAUAAAGUUUUGGGACACCAUGAGGUCAUCUCCUUGCUGACAGCCCAGAACGACUGUGCCCCCCCAACCCUGAGAGCCCAGGGGCUGGAGUAAGAGAGAGGCUCGUGGAGAACCUGGUAGCCCCUUCUCCCUCCAUCACUGACUGAGGCAGAGAAGCACGAACAUCGUGAUGCCUGCUCUGGGGGCUCCAGCUGUGGGAGAGGAGACCACAGGGCCCUCCAAGACAGAGAGAUACACGGAUGUGGUCACUCAGAGCCUGCUGCUGCCCGUCCAGGUCCCCACAGCUGUGGACCCACAGGAAGGGAAACUGCUUUUCUCUGGGUUUGGCUCUGGUUUUCCCUGGGUGGGGAGGGGGAUGGCUUGGGAGGACCCCAGACCCUCUGGACACAUGAGCCUCUGCUCCCCUCCCCUGCCCCAGGUCACCGUCACUGCUGCAGGUGGGAAAGGACAGGCCCCUAUGGAAUCGGGUCCUGGGAGGCUUCCCUGGGAGGUCUCCUUUCCCAGGAGGUCCCAGCUGGGAGUCAGAGCUGAAAGGAACUUUCCCACCCGCAGGCCUCUUGCCUUUACACCUGGAGAAACUGAGGCCCAGGCAGGGGAGGGGCCUGUCCAUGUCACCAUCACCAGAGGAGCCUCAAACUGAUGACGGAACUCAGCCCUUCCUCCCCUGGACCUCGCCCACCUCCCACUCAAAGCCCUGCACUGACCCCAUGGGGGUGAGGGGCUGGUCCUCAUGGCCUGUUAGGUCAGGACAGGCAGGGGAGGGCUGGGACUGCCCUGCUCCCCACGUCAGCCAGGCUGCUCCUUCCCCAGGCUGGGCCCCAACAUCUCCCUCUGCCUCGACCCCGCCCCUCACCAGCCCAGCCUGAGCCCCUGGGAGCCUGUGGCCCCUCCUCUGGCUCUGGAGGGAAGCCGGUACUUGAGUCCUUGAGGGGAAUGGGAUCCUCUGGGAGACUCAGGACUGCCCUGCGGGAGGCCGCCCUCUCUCCGAGCCCAGAGGCCUCAAUGACUCACCCGGUGUGGAGGAGGAGCCUGUGGGUUGGGGGCUGGGAUCCCUGGAGGGUCCUGGGAAUGGGCACAGAAAGGGACUGAGGAAUUGGAGCUAUCCUGCAGUCCCCACCUCCACUCAAAGCUCUCCCCUCCAUCUGCCCGGUGGCCUCUCCAAGACCCUCCCUCUCCCCACCUAGCACCUUCUGGACUCCAGGUGAAGGAGAAGAGGGAGAACCGCUGUUGGCCUCCUCUCCUCUGAGGGGCGAAUUCCUCUGUGGCCGAGCCUCCCUCAGAGCCCCCUUCACUCCAUCUCUGCCCAGAGCGCUCCUGGGGGCAGGGCCUGAGCCGAACCUUCGAACUUAGAGAGGGCAGGGUCAGGACCUUUCACCCAAGACCGUCAACCCAAGACCACCAGCUCUGACUGGGGUGUGACAGCAGGUCGGGGAAGGUGCAGUCAUGUGAGAAUCUUGAAGCUGCCCAUGAAGGGAGUGUUUAUACCACAGUCAUCAACAAAUUCCACAAAUAAAUGCUUUUUAGAAAACGUU